rnacentral:misc_RNA from 1 species
UCCGGCUUAUCACCGGCAGUCCCCUUAGAGUGCCCAACUAAAUGAUGGCAACUAAGGGCGAGGGUUGCGCUCGUUGCGGGACUUAACCCAACAUCUCACGACACGAGCUGACGACAGCCAUGCAGCACCUGUCACCGGUCCAGCCGAACUGAAGGUAAUCAUCUCUGAAAACCGCGACCGGGAUGUCAAGGGUAGGUAAGGUUUUUCGCGUUGCAUCGAAUUAAUCCACAUAAUCCACCGCUUGUGCGGGUCCCCGUCAAUUCCUUUGAGUUUUAACCUUGCGGCCGUACUCCCCAGGCGGUCAACUUCACGCGUUAGCUUCGUUACCAAGGAAUUGCUUCCCCGACAACCAGUUGACAUAGUUUAGGGCGUGGACUAC